rnacentral:rRNA from 1 species
GAGUUUGAUCGUGGCUCAGAACGAACGCUGGCGGCAGGCUUAACACAUGCAAGUCGAACGCAUCCUUCGGGGUGAGUGGCGGACGGGUGAGUAACACGUGGGAACGUGCCUUUUGGUUCGGAAUAACUCAGGGAAACUUGAGCUAAUACCGAAUGUGCCCUUCGGGGGAAAGAUUUAUCGCCAUUAGAGCGGCCCGCGUCGGAUUAGGUAGUUGGAGGUGUAACGGACCCCCAACG